GAGGGUAUAGCUCAAGUGGUAGAGCACAUACUUAAUAGCAUAUACAAGGUCCUGGGUUCAAUCCCCAGUACCUCCA
rnacentral:tRNA from 1 species